GAUGAACGCUGGCGGCGCGCCUAACACAUGCAAGUCGAACGGUUAAAGCACCUUUUAGGUGUGUAUAAAGUGGCGAACGGCUGAGUAACACGUGGGCAACCUGCCCUCCUCUUGGGGAUAGCCUCGGGAAACCGAGGAUAAUACCCGAUACUUCAAUGUGGCCGCAUGACGACAUUGAGAAAGCUUUUGCGGAGAAGGAUGGGCCCGCGGCCUGUUAGCUUGUUGGUGGGGUAGAGGCCUACCAAGGCAAUGAUGGGUAGCUGGGUUGAGAGACCGACCAGCCAGAUUGGGACUGAGACACGGCCCAGACUCCUACGGGAGGCAGCAGUGGGGAAUCUUGCACAAUGGGCGAAAGCCUGAUGCAGCGACGCCGCGUGCGGGACGAAGGCCUUCGGGUUGUAAACCGCUUUCCAGCAGGGACGAGGCGAAAGUGACGGUACCUGCAGAAGAAGCCCC
rnacentral:rRNA from 2 species